CCCAUAUCAUCACUGAGGUUAAGCAAGGUUGAACCUGGUCAGUACCGAGAUGGGUGACCACUUGGGAAUACCAGGUGCUGUAAG